CUCAGAUUCACCUCUCCCACCAGGGUUCUCUGUUCCUUUAAAAUCCCACCUUUCCUGUCCUUCUGAUUCAGAGGAAGGAGUUCUCAGGACUGUGUCUCCUCCUCCACGGCCCUGGGAUCUUUGCCUAUAGAGCUCCUUCUCCUCCAUCUGUGAGCAAACCUCCUCCCAUAGGCAGAAACCACAUCCACACACACAAACCCACACAACACACCAACAUCACACAGACACCAUGCACACUCAUAAACCCACACACAACACACCAAUAUCACACAAACACAUAUAAACCCACACACAACACACUGACAUUACACACACCAACAUCACAUACACAUAAACCUACACAACACACUGACAUCAUACACACAGACACCACACACAUAAACCCACACAACACACCAACAUCACACACAGUCACCACACACACAUAAACCCAUACACAACACACCAAAAUCAGACACACACAUAAACCCACACACAACACACUGACAUCACACACACUGACAUGAUGCACAAAUAUACACCCACACACAACACACUGACAUCACACACACAGACACCACACACACAUAAAUGCACACACAACACACCAACAUCACACACACAAACCCACACAACACACCGACAUCACACACACAGACACUAUGUACACAAACAUCACCCACAGACACCAGAUGCACACACCACACACACUCAAACUUCUCUCUUACACACACUCUUCCAUCACACCCUCACAGAGUCAUGACACAUGAGCAUACUACACACAUAUCACACAAAUAUUCACAGACACACAGACAACCCCCCCCACACACACAAUGCACACACCACACAACUGUCUCCCCGGGCCCACACCCUGUCCAUAUACAGACCAUGGAGAGCAAGAAGGGCUGAAGCUGGUCUUGCCCCUGCCUCCUGGAGGAGGAGGGUGCACCUGAAAACAGACCCAGCAAGAGAUGGGAGCCCCGGGAGCAGCCCAACUCCAGGUCCUCUGCAGAAGUGUCCUAGCCGCCACCAGGCUGCCCUGCAUGGCUCAGCAGUUUCCAGUGCCAGGCUGCAGGGAGGUGUGUGGGGCUGGA
rnacentral:lncRNA from 10 species